GACGAACGCUGGCGGCGUGCUUAACACAUGCAAGUCGAACGGAAAGGCUCGAGCUUGCUGGCGUACUCGAGUGGCGCACGGGUGAGUAACACGUGGGUAAUCUGCCCUGCACUCUGGGAUAAGCCUUGGAAACUGGGUCUAAUACAGGAUAUGACAUUUCUCCUUAUGGGGUUUGGUGGAAAGUUUUUCGGUGUAGGAUGAGCCCGCGGCCUAUCAGCUUGUUGGUGGGGUGAUGGCCUACCAAGGCGACGACGGGUAGCCGGCCUGAGAGGGUGAUCGGCCACAUUGGGACUGAGAUACGGCCCAGACUCCUACGGGAGGCAGCAGUGGGGAAUAUUGCACAAUGGGCGGAAGCCUGAUGCAGCGACGCCGCGUGAGGGAUGACGGCCUUCGGGUUGUAAACCUCUUUCAGCAGGGACGAAGCGUAAGUGACGGUACCUGCAGAAGAAGCACCGGCUAACUAUGU
rnacentral:rRNA from 1 species